AGGGAAUUUUCCGCAAUGGACGAAAGUCUGACGGAGCAACGCCGCGUGAGUGAGGACGGUCUUCGGAUUGUAAAACUCUGUUCUCUCGGAAGAGCAUCUUAGAGCUGAAUAGGUUCUAAGAUCCGACGGUACGAGAGGAGAAAGUCCCGGCUAACUACGUGCCAGCAGCCGCGGUAAUACGUAGGGGGCAAGCGUUGUCCGGAUUUAUUGGGCGUAAAGGGCGCGUAGGCGGCCUCUUAAGUCAGUUGUGAAAGGUCCCGGCUCAACCGGGGAGUUGCAGCUGAAACUGGGAGGCUUGAGUGCAGGAGAGGAGAGCGGAAUUCUCGGUGUAGCGGUGGAAUGCGUAGAGAUCGGGAGGAACACCAGUGGCGAAGGCGGCUCUCUGGCCUGUUACUGACGCUGAGGCGCGAAAGCGUGGGGAGCGAAC
rnacentral:rRNA from 1 species